CUCUCUCCACCAAGAACCUGCUCUCCUCUGUGGCAGUGUGGUUAGCUGGUUGAGUAAAUCCUGUCAACCGCUGACUACACUACCUUAGAGUGGAUCAACAUGGCUGCCAGAGAUUCA
rnacentral:pre_miRNA from 9 species